GUUAAGCAAAAAUUAAGCAAAGUGCAAUUUAGAGAAAAUUCAAGCCAAGAAAAGCUUAGAGGGUUCUUGCAAUGUGAAUUGAGAGGAUUUUCCGACUUUGUGAUCAUCCUCUGACCUUAAAUCAGUAGCGCAACCUUGGUUUAUCGGUUUUCCCCAUAUAAUCUGGGUAUGUGUUUAAAUUCGGGUUUUCAAGUUUUUUUUAUUCUUGCUCGAAAAUCAACAAAUUUCAAUUUUUUUCCUUUUUUUUUAAUUUAUCUUAUGUAGUGUAUUUUUCAUUUUUUGCAGGAGCAAGAUGCGGGCUGCAAAGCAACCUAUUUACCGAGGCUGAGAUUGCAAAAAGACCACUUAGAUCAAUGUAUGACAUAGUCCACUUAGAUGCUAAACAUUAAAAUUUAACAUGAAAAGCCCUUGAUUUAGUUCAAGGUUUAAAGUUACACUGUUGUUGCUGGACGUGAAUGAAUUUUUUUUUUUUUUUUGGGCACAGUCCACUUAGAUGCUAAACGUUAAAAUUUAACAUGAAAAGCCCUUGAUUUAGGUCAAGGUUUAAAGUUACACUGUUGUUGUUGCUGGACAUGAAUGAACUUUUUUUUCCCUUUCUGACUAUGUUCAAUAUCCUAGAGGAUAAAAUAGAAAGCUGAGAUACAACGGUGCAAAAGCAAUAUAUAAUUUGCUGAAGAUAUUCAACAGCGUAAGUCAUGAAAGGAAAUCCGCUAUUGAGACCCUGCGCCACUAGUGACUGCAGAUCCUUCAACAAUUGUUUCAUCUCCUGAUUUCUAAACAACAUCUUUCAACCCAGUCGAAAGGUUUUUUUAAAACUUGUGGAAUUCUAAGGUUUUUUUUGGGGGGGGG
rnacentral:lncRNA from 1 species